rnacentral:rRNA from 1 species
UGCCUUAUGAGGUUAUAUAAGGUAACUCCUGCCCGGUGAUGGUUUAUUUAACGGCCGCAGUACCCUGACUGUGCAAAGGUAGCGUAAUAAUUUGUCCUUUAAUUUGGGUCGAGAAUGAAAGGAAUUUUGGGAAGAAGGUGUCUCAUUUAAACUUUUUUUAAUUUUCUUAAGGUGUGAAAAUUCACCUAUUAACUUUUAAGAAAGACGAGAAGACCCUUAGAGUUUAAUCGUGUGAGAGUAUGUCUCUUCUUGACGAUUUUGUUGGGGCGACAAGUUUUCACAGAUAACAAACCUUUUAUGGAGUUUUUUCAAGACGAUUAUAUUACGGUUGAGAAAACUACCUAAGGGAUAACAGCAUAAUUCUAUAAAGAGAUUGUGACCUCGAUGUUGGACUAGGAAACUUAUGGUUAGACACCAAGAUGUUAUGUUCUGUUCGAACAUUAAACUCCU